AAAUGAAUUGACGGGGGCCCGCACAAGCGGCGGAGCGUGUUGUUUAAUUCGUCGCAACGCGAAAAACCUUACCAGGGCUUGACAUGGACCUGCAGUUCCCGGGAAACCGGGGGCGCCUUCGAGGGUGGUCCACAGGUGCUGCAUGGCUGUCGUCAGCUCGUGUCGUGAGAUGUUGGGUUAAGUCCCGCAACGAGCGCAACCCUUGUGGCCAGUUGUGAUUUUCUGGCCAGACUGCCGGGGGCAAACCGGAGGAAGGGAGGGAUGAUGUCAAGUCAGCAUGGCCCUUACGUCCUGGGCAACAAACACGCUACAAUGGCGCGGACAGCGGGUAGCCAAGCCGCAAGGCGGAGCGAAUCCCCCAAACCGCGUCUCAGUUCGGAUCGUGGGCUGCAACUCGCCCGCGUGAAGGUGGAGUCGCUAGUAACCGCGGAUCAGCAGUGCUGCGGUGAAUAUGUUCCCGGGCCUUGUACACACCGCCCGU
rnacentral:rRNA from 1 species